rnacentral:rRNA from 1 species
GGGAUUAGUGGCGAACGGGUGAGUAACACGUGGGCAAUCUGCCCUGCACUCUGGGACAAGCCCUGGAAACGGGGUCUAAUACCGGAUGAUACCCGGGGGCGCAUGCCCUUGGGUUGAAAGCUCCGGCGGUGCAGGAUGAGCCCGCGGCCUAUCANCUUGUUGGUGGGGUGAUGGCCUACCAAGGCGACGACGGGUAGCCGGCCUGAGAGGGCGACCGGCCACACUGGGACUGAGACACGGCCCAGACUCCUACGGGAGGCAGCAGUGGGGAAUAUUGCACAAUGGGCGAAAGCCUGAUGCAGCGACGCCGCGUGAGGGAUGACGGCCUUCGGGUUGUAAACCUCUUUCAGCAGGGAAGAAGCGAAAGUGACGGUACCUGCAGAAGAAGCGCCGGCUAACUACGUGCCAGCAGCCGCGGUAAUACGUAGGGCGCAAGCGUUGUCCGGAAUUAUUGGGCGUAAAGAGCUCGUAGGCGGCUUGUCACGUCGGUUGUGAAAGCCCGGGGCUUAACCCCGGGUCUGCAGUCGAUACGGGCAGGCUAGAGUGUGGUAGGGGAGAUCGGAAUUCCUGGUGUAGCGGUGAAAUGCGCAGAUAUCAGGAGGAACACCGGUGGCGAAGGCGGAUCUCUGGGCCAUUACUGACGCUGAGGAGCGAAAGCGUGGGGAGCGAACAGGAUUAGAUACCCUGGUAGUCCACGCCGUAAACGUUGGGAACUAGGUGUUGGCGACAUUCCACGUCGUCGGUGCCGCAGCUAACGCAUUAAGUUCCCCGCCUG